rnacentral:rRNA from 1 species
UACGAAGGGGGCUAGCGUUGCUCGGAAUGACUGGGCGUAAAGGGCGCGUAGGCGGUUGACACAGUCAGGCGUGAAAUUCCUGGGCUUAACCUGGGGGCUGCGCUUGAUACAUGUUGACUUGAGUGUGGAAGAGGGUCGUGGAAUUCCCAGUGUAGAGGUGAAAUUCGUAAGAUAUUGGGAGAACACCGGUGGCGAAGGCGGCGACCUGGUCCUUGACUGACGC